CAGUAGCCGCGGGAAUACAGAGGUCUCAAGCGUUGUUCGGAUUCAUUGGGCGUAAAGGGUGCGUAGGUGGCGGUGUAAGUCUAACGUGAAAUCUCGGGGCUCAACCUCGAAAUUGCGUCGGAUACUGCAUUGCUAGAGGAUUGUAGAGGAGAGUGGAAUUCAUGGUGUAGCAGUGAAAUGCGUAGAUAUCAUGAGGAAGACCAGUUGCGAAGGCGACUCUCUGGGCAACUCCUGACACUGAGGCACGAAGGCUAGGGGAGCAAACGGGAUUAGAUACCCCCGUAGUCCCUGUCUCUUAUAA
rnacentral:rRNA from 1 species